rnacentral:rRNA from 1 species
GACGAACGCUGGCGGCGUGCUUAACACAUGCAAGUCGAACGGAAAGGCCCUGCUUUUGUGGGGUGCUCGAGUGGCGAACGGGUGAGUAACACGUGAGUAACCUGCCCUUGACUUUGGGAUAACUUCAGGAAACUGGGGCUAAUACCGGAUAGGAGCUCCUGCUGCAUGGUGGGGGUUGGAAAGUUUCGGCGGUUGGGGAUGGACUCGCGGCUUAUCAGCUUGUUGGUGGGGUAGUGGCUUACCAAGGCUUUGACGGGUAGCCGGCCUGAGAGGGUGACUGGCCACAUUGGGACUGAGGUACGGCCCAGACUCCUACGGGAGGCAGCAGUGGGGAAUGUUGCACAAUGGGCGGAAGCCUGAUGCAGCAACGCCGCGUGCGGGAUGACGGCCUUCGGGUUGUAAACCGCUUUCGCCUGUGACGAAGCGUGAGUGACGGUAAUGGGUAAAGAAGCACCGGCUAACUACGUG